rnacentral:lncRNA from 1 species
UGCUCUUUCCUUUUACACACAACCAGAUUUCUCAACUGAUUUUCCUUUUCUUUUUUUUUUCUUCUGGCCUUCUUUUAUAUUGCACUCACCAAGUUCCAAGAUCCUCCAUCCCUUUCACAUGUCUCUACAGGUUAGGUAUUUGGUAGGAAAAAUGGCUUGUACUGAAUGGAAACAAAGAAAAUGGCCAAGGCUCAAAGUUAGGGUACAAUGGUCAGAAAUGAAAUGGUAAAACUAAACGGUUAUGGAUGGUAAGAAAGAAUGCCUAAAUCAUGUCUAAAGUCCACCAAGAGCAAGCUUUUNACAAAGAAUCAAUGCAAAAUCAGAAUGAAAAUCAAACAUGCAUGAAAUCACACUAGAAAGAAAAAAAUUGGCCCAAAAUCUCUCCGGGUUAAUAAAUUUCCAAAACUGACUUGUUACCUUCUUUUAUGGCAAAAUGCUUAAUUGAACUGAACUAAGAUGCAAAAAGCAAAGCUAGGACUACUUCUACUUAAAUCUAAAGCAAAGAAUUACAUCAAUAGUUCUAAUUAAGAGAAAUAAAACUGUGAAAUGAAGUAAAUCAGCAAAGAAUUGAGCAAGGAAUGAAAUAGAACUCAAAAAGAACCUAGAAUUACCCAACAGUACGACUUAAAACUAUUUACAACCUACAAAAGCUAAAACUGGACAGUAUGUAACUAAGAAAACCUAACUAAACUCAAUUAGCUAAAACAGUUCCUAAACCAAAGUUGUACUAGGAAAAGAAGAAAAUCAAAGAAAUAAUUAUGAACCUAGCUAGACUAAAACAAAUUUAUGUUCAAAAGAAAGAAAGCCUAAGAUAAUCCUAAACCGUAACAAUGAAUGGAAAAGAACCUAGGAGGCUAUUUCUAAAAAUCAAAACACAAUGUUCAGAACAAAAUUUAUUAUGAAAACUAAAUCAAGAAAAUGAAAUCAGAGAAGUAAACAAAUCCUAUAAAAGAAAAAAUUCUAAAGUAAAUGCAAAUGUACAAAGGCUAAAACAUAAUGUCAAAACUAAGACAAUUACUAAUAUUUAAAACAAGAAAUAAGAAAGCUAAAAUAAGACUACUGAUCCGUGAAACAGAACUCAAAGAAGCUAAAAUAGGAUCAGGGAUAAAAGAAAAUUUUUUACAAACAACUAGGAUU